GUCUACGGCCAUACCACCCUGAACGCGCCUGAUCUCGUCUGAUCUCGGAAGCUAAGCAGGGUCGGGCCUGGUUAGUACUUGGAUGGGAGAUGUUACUAGAAACUAUUCAGUCUUUCUCC
rnacentral:rRNA from 1 species